UUGACAUCCAGAGAACUUAGCAGAGAUGCUUUGGUGCCUUCGGGAACUCUGAGACAGGUGCUGCAUGGCUGUCGUCAGCUCGUGUUGUGAAAUGUUGGGUUAAGUCCGCAACGAGCGCAACCCUUAUCCUUUGUUGCCAGCGGUUCGGCCGGGAACUCAAAGGAGACUGCCGGUGAUAAACCGGAGGAAGGUGGGGAUGACGUCAAGUCAUCAUGGCCCUUACGGCCAGGGCUACACACGUGCUACAAUGGCGCAUACAAAGAGAAGCGACCUCGCGAGAGCAAGCGGACCUCAUAAAGUGCGUCGUAGUCCGGAUUGGAGUCUGCAACUCGACUCCAUGAAGUCGGAAUCGCUAGUAAUCGUAGAUCAGAAUGCUACGGUGAAUACGUUCCCGGGCCUUGUACACACCGCCCGUCACACCAUGGGAGUGGGUUGCAAAAGAAGUAGGUAGCUUAACCUUCGGGAGGGCGCUUACCACUUUGUGAUUCAUGACUGGGGUGAAGUCGUAACAAGGUAGGCGUACGUGU
rnacentral:rRNA from 1 species